CUUUUUGAUUGUCUUCUGCCCUCCGCGUGGCCUUUUGCUGUCUCACCGUGCUACUUUAGUACCGCCCCUCGCGGGCCUUGAGGUGAAGGUGUGAGCGUCGGAGGCGUCGCGAACCGCGUGGCUCAGGUCGUUCUGGUUACCGAGCCCGCCGUGCAGACUGGAUUGCCUCGUACUUUUCGGGCCAGGUGCGUCGCCGGAGGCGCUCGUGUCUCUAUUUUCCUUCCGUUCCGAUAGGCCAUGCGGCCGUGUUUGGCGUGGUGAGCGCGUGGUGUGAAGGUGGUCGGUAGAGGUCAGGAGCGACAGCGACGGAUGUCCUUCCUCGUGUGCGCGAGCGUCGGGGGCGCGAGGACGAACGAAGGGCGCAGCGACGGCAGCCGACUCACCGGGGGCUGCUCCCUGCUCCCACCUCCUCUCCGCAGCGGCCUGCCUCGACGCUCCACAAACAUCCUAACGCACGCAUCCGCUCGGAAGCUUCGAACCCGUAUCAGUAGCGGUACCGGUGGCCCCACCGUGGCCGAGGCGAGGGCGUGCAGUUCCAGGCGCCGCCUCCGUAGCCGAAUUGGUUCUCGCAGCUGAAGCGGUUCCAGGAGAGGCAAGGGCCACGCGACUCCUGCCCCAGGAGCUCUCCGUCCCGCGAGCACCAGUCCUCGAGUUCAUGUCUCAGACUAUGGUACCUCGAGCUCGGCCGGAGGCUUCCUUCGGGUGAAGAACAAGGGUCCGUCUUCAUGACGCUUAGAUAGGUGGUUUGUUCCUCCUCUUUUUGUGCCUGACACUACCAGCCCUUGCACCGUGAACCGUCACUAGUGGGGUACUCCUAAGUCUGAUACUGGUGGAGUCUAUGGUUCCUACAACGGUUCUGGCACCUUCUCCACUACUCCUAACGUCUAUUUCCGCGACUAAAACAAUCUUAUUGGCAGGUCCCAUUUUUCCUCCGACUACGGACGAAACUCUAAUUCUUGUGAGAACAGGUCUUCUUAAUGUUGUAGGGAGAUCACCGGCUAUAAGUAAAACGCGGAUGUCAUCGAAAUUCUCACCGGCUUACGAAACUGUUUUAGGCACAAUUGGGUCCUUUGAAGCGGCUAGCGGCACGGGUUAAACUCUUCGACCUUAUAUGACUUCUGCUAAUGCUUUUCCUCGAACUUGUAUAACUCUUCCAGAAAAGAGGCAACCAACUCUUUACGUUCUUCAUACCUUCUCGGUACGCAUAACCUUGUUUAGUACCAUCAGAAAGACUGGCCUAUUACUCGAUGAUACCACUAAGAGGUUCCCCUUACCAACUCAGACGAAACCUUAAACGAUCCUAGACAGCCUUAAACCUGAAGGUAUUGAAACAUAAAAGUUACUUUCGUUCAUUGGGACAACAGUACCAGGUUCGUAUAGCGGACGAACAUCGCCUUUACAUAUUGGAACCUACCCUAAUAGGAAACGUGAACCCUCAAUGGCUUCGACCACUCCCACUUCUACCCUCCUACUUCAGACGAUAACCGUAGCCUUGUGAAAACUACCUACCGAACCCACUAUGUUAGGCACAUAGGGACUGUCUUGGUGGUCUCCUUCUUUAACUAGGAACGUCCUCUGAGCGUUUAGAACCUUGAGUCCGACGUUUGGAAGUUUAUCCCCACCGGGGUAAACUUCUUUUUGUAUCCGCGAUAAAACUAAAGGUCGCAUCUUCACCGGUCAACGGAAAUGUCUUCCUCCCACUCCGUCAUCUAAUGUCUCCACAGGAAGUAGCACUACCGAGACAAGACUACAGUCACAGGAAUCUAGUCAACUUCCGAGGACUCGAGGAAAUAUCCAGAGAACGACGCUUCGAAUAUCAACCGUACGGAAAGUUCCUAAACCGUUGACAUCUAAGAUAAGAAAACUCUCUUGAGGGGGGACAUNNNNNNNNNNNNNNNUCUGAACGUGAGUUUUCUAAUCAACUGUAGUCGUACCCGCACAACUGAGGGAAUAGUCUCGUUAACUGUUUCGGUGAGGGUGUACGUUAACACGAACAGUGGGAACUACUUGAUAGUUCACUACGUUUGUUCGAAAACGGUCUUCCGUGAUCUAAACGACAGUGAGAAGCACCUCUACUUAGUAUACUCGUCGAUCUACAAGAAUUCUCACAACUAUUAUAUUGCUACAACAAUGUAUUGCAAGGUAUACCACUUCUCUUCUGACCAUCUCAUGUACGACGAUCCUCCGACAAACUCAUGAAUCUCUGGUUACCAAACUUGAAGGGACACUAGGUAGUGUAACUAAAGGGAUUUUCGUAGCUAUCUCUACCAGAACAAUAACCACGACCCUCGUUACAACCACGAGAAGAUCAACUACCAGACCCACUACCACAUGAAGAACUUCGACGAUUGGUCCUCAAACUUAAGAACUCCCUAUGUAGGAAGUUGAACGAUGUCCCAACGGCCUACGCGUUGUGUUUUUGACUUAUACAGAGAACAGGAAGAACACCCGCUUGCGAGAAGCUGGAGGUUCUUUAGUCACGAGUCUAAUCUCUCUUCUGGAGAGUAGACGGACCGCAGAGAUAACGAUAAUACCCAACGUAACAAUUACCCGGUCCGCUCUACCGACUACGGCUGAAACCUAUGCAACCUCCACGGGGACCUUUCUAGCUGGAAAUACAACCCUUCUGACAACACGUUGCCCCUUAACGUUACCUCCCACGGUGACUUCGGAACUAAGUCGAAUAGUUCCUGGUACCGGCAACCCACCUAGGAGGAUGACUCCUCAUCCGAGACCGACAAAGGCCAUCAAGUACACAUCGGGCAUUUGCUAGGCGAUCGCCUUUUAAGUCACAUAGUUGUCUGGUCUCCUAUAGGGUCGUGUAUAAUAUAGUCAACCCUUUAUUUUAUCUUUGUUACAGCCGACGUUAAGACGCUGUAGGACUACUUCGUAUUCGUCGUAUCUUCGAAGAACUUUAGUGUAGUGCCAUAUAGGAUUCGUACAUCCUCAUGUAAACAUUUACUGUACGUCUUUUAGUUUCAUCAAAUGGACAUAGAUCUUGAUCUACUAUGGGGCGCGCAACGACGAUGUCACAUAAGUGUUUCCUGUAGGGUUGUGUACAACAUAUAGUUAACCCUUUGUUUCAUCUUUGUCCCGACCCGUGCUAAGACGCUGUAGAACUACUUCGUAUUCGUCGAAUCUUCGAAGAACUUUAGUACAGCGAUAUAUAGAAUUUCUUCCAAUACGAUAAUACGUUCAUGUAUUUAAGAAUAAACAUAUAAAACUAAACAAGGUUCGACACACCGACCUGUACCAACAACCUUUUGUGCCAUCUUUAGUUCCCCCUUUUUUUUAGGGGGACAAGUUGAAGAAGAUCUUGGUUGGGUUAGGUUAAUACACACGCGUCAAACAACCUCAAAAAAAGAAGAAACCAAAUCCUCUUGGAGAAACAACACAAACAAUAUAGUAAACAGGUGGUAUAGACUUCGAACCGAAGCGGGAGACUCCACCGACUAUCAUCCCUGCUAGUUGUACGUGAUAUCCCUCCUCGCGUUCUCCUUCGAGUUGAGUAAACUCAACUUCUUCAUAUUCUCCAUCAUCACUCUGAAGACAGCAGAGCUAAAAACAAAGUAUAGUACAGUAAAAACACAGUGAUUUUGUCCAAAUAGCUCGGCACCUAAUACAAAUCACGUACAAUUGGAACACUCACAGUACCGCAAACUUUAUUUCAAGUUGAACACAAACUUUACUU
rnacentral:rRNA from 1 species